AGACGGAGGGGGCUAGCGUUGUUCGGAAUUAUUGGGCGUAAAGCGGGUGUAGGCGGUUUUGCAAGUCGGGUGUGAAAGCCCUGGGCCCAACCCAGGAAUUGCAUCCGAUACUGCAUCACUAGAGUCCCAGAGAGGAUGGCGGAAUUCCAGGUGUAGAGGUGAAAUUCGUAGAUAUCUGGAGGAACACCAGUGGCGAAGGCGGCCAUCUGGACGGUGACUGACGCUCAGACCCGAAAGCGUGGGGAGCAAACAGCAUUAGAUACCCCGGUAGUCC
rnacentral:rRNA from 1 species